AACGCACAUUGCGCCCUUUGGUAUUCCGAAGGGCAUGCCUGUUCGAGCGUCAUUAUCACCCCUCGAGCCCCCGGGCUUGGUGUUGGACGGCCUGGUCGCGCCCCGCGCGUAACCCCUCCUAAAGACAAUGACGGCGGCCUCGUGGAGCCCCCGGUACACUGAGCUUCUUAACUGAGCACGUAUCGGAUCUAGGGCGCCCGGGUCCCGGUCCUCCUCCUCUCUCGUCCUCCCGGGCGGGAGACGAAACUUCUAAGGUUGACCUCGGAUCAGGUAGGGAUACCCGCUGAACUUAA
rnacentral:misc_RNA from 1 species